UCCCUGGAGGACUAGUGUUUAGGCCACAGCGCUCUCACUGCUGGAGCCUGGGUUCGAUUCCUGGCCAGGGAA
rnacentral:tRNA from 1 species